AGGGAGCCUGAGAAACGGCUACCACAUCUAAGGAAGGCAGCAGGGUCGCAAAUUACCCAAUCCAGACACAGGGAGGUAGUGACAAGAAAUAACAAUACAGGACCUAACGGUCUUGUAAUUGGAAUGAGUUAAGUAUAAACCCCUUUACAAGUAGCAAUUGGAGGGCAAGUCUGGUGCCAGCAGCCGCGGUAAUUCCAGCUCCAAUAGCGUAUAUUAAAGUUGUUGCAGUUAAAAAGCUCGUAGUUGGAU
rnacentral:rRNA from 1 species